GACGAACGCUGGCGGCGUGCUUAACACAUGCAAGUCGAACGGAAAGGCCCUGCUUUUGUGGGGUGCUCGAGUGGCGAACGGGUGAGUCACACGUGAGUAACCUGCCCUUGACUUUGGGAUAACUUCAGGAAACUUGGGCUAAUACCGGAUAGGAGCUCCUGCUGCAUGGUGGGGGUUGGAACGUUUCGGCGGUUGGGGAUGGACUCGCGGCUUAUCAGCUUGUUGGUGGGGUAGUGGCUUACCAAGGCUUUGACGGGUAGCCGGCCUGAGAGGGUGACCGGCCACAUGGGGACUGAGAUACGGCCCAGACUCCUACGGGAGGCAGCAGUGGGGAAUAUUGCACAAUGGGCGGAAGCCUGAGGCAGCAACGCCGCGUGCGGGAUGACGGCCUUCGGGUUGUAAACCGCUUUCGCCUGUGACGAAGCGUGAGUGACGGUAAUGGGUAAAGAAGCACCGGCUAACUACGUG
rnacentral:rRNA from 1 species